GACGAACGCUGGCGGCGUGCCUAAUACAUGCAAGUCGAACGCAGUGGGGACGGGUGAGUAACACGUGGGUAACCUCCCAUCAGAGGGGAUAACACUUGGAAACAGGUGCUAAACCGACAUUGACGGAUGGACCCGCGGUGCAUUAGCUAGCUGGUGAGGUAGCGGCUCACCAAGGGCACGAUGCAUAGACGACUUGAGAGGCUGAUCGGCCACAAGGGGACUGAGACACGGCCCAAACUCCUACGGGAGGCAGCAGUAGGGAAUCUUCCACAAUGGACGAAAGUCUGACCGAGCAACGCCGCGUGAGUGAAGAAGGUUUUCGGAUCGUAAAGCUCUGUUGUUAGAGAAGCGGUAUCUAACCAGAAAGCCACGGCUAACUACGUGCCAGCAGCCGCGGUAAUAC
rnacentral:rRNA from 1 species